rnacentral:lncRNA from 1 species
UUUGCUACAGCCACAGCAGGAAACAGAGUCAUGCCUAAGACGCUUUCUUCCCUUCAGUGAGACUAAUGGCUCCCUCCAACCCCUCCAGACCUGGUUUUAUUUGUGACUUUCAUCUGAACUGACCUCUUAAACACAAGGAGCAAAUGUUAUCUCUGAUCUAUUCAGUUAAAAUGUAACUUGCACUCUAUUGCCUCUUCUCUUCAACUGUGCUCGAAUACUCCUCUCGUGCUUCUGUCUUUGACGGGGCGACACUGCUAUCCUGGAGCAGCCCUGACAUCUCUUUUCUCCCUCCACCCUGGCC